rnacentral:rRNA from 1 species
UAGGGAAUCUUCGGCAAUGGACGGAAGUCUGACCGAGCAACGCCGCGUGAGUGAAGAAGGUUUUCGGAUCGUAAAGCUCUGUUGUAAGAGAAGAACGAGUGUGAGAGUGGAAAGUUCACACUGUGACGGUAUCUUACCAGAAAGGGACGGCUAACUACGUGCCAGCAGCCGCGGUAAUACGUAGGUCCCGAGCGUUGUCCGGAUUUAUUGGGCGUAAAGCGAGCGCAGGCGGUUAGAUAAGUUUGAAGUUAAAGGCUGUGGCUUAACCAUAGUAGGCUUUGGAAACUGUUUAACUUGAGUGCAAGAGGGGAGAGUGGAAUUCCAUGUGUAGCGGUGAAAUGCGUAGAUAUAUGGAGGAACACCGGUGGCGAAAGCGGCUCUCUGGCUUGUAACUGACGCUGAGGCUCGAAAGCGUGGGGAGCAAACAGGAUUAGAUACCCUGGUAGUCCACGCUGUAAACGAUGAGUGCUAGGUGUUAGACCCUUUCCGGGGUUUAGUGCCGUAGCUAACGCAUUAAGCACUCCGCCUGGGGAGUACGACCGCAAGGUUG